rnacentral:rRNA from 1 species
UACGUAGGGUGCAAGCGUUGUCCGGAAUUAUUGGGCGUAAAGAGCUCGUAGGCGGUUUGUCGCGUCUGCUGUGAAAACUCGGGGCUUAACCCCGGGCCUGCAGUGGGUACGGGCAGACUAGAGUGCGGUAGGGGAGACUGGAAUUCCUGGUGUAGCGGUGGAAUGCGUAGAGAUCCGGAAGAACACCGGUGGCGAAGACGGUCUGCUGGGGUCGAACUGACGCUGAGGCGCGACAGCGUGGGGAGCAAACAGG